rnacentral:rRNA from 1 species
UGUACACACCGCCCGUCACGCCAUGGAAGCUGGGGAGACCUGAAGUCGGUGGGCCAACCGCAAGGGGGCAGCCGCCAAAGGUCAAUUCAGUGACUGGGGCGAAGUCGUAACAAGGUAGCCGUAGGGGAACCUGCGGCUGGAUCACCUCCUU